UGUCAUCCAGCCUCCCUGCUCUGCCGGGACGGUCACAGAGGUAAACGAGCCUCUUUAAGAAGAUACAUCAACCUUCGUGUUUGAGAAUCAACCUCAGCCAAAACAGAGCGUCACCUAAUUACACCUUCAAUUGAUCUCCAGAAUGGAGAGCCGCCUGGUGGCCUAGAAGUGCAGCCAGGCCCCGACAGACACAGUAAAGGGCGAGCACAGACUGCCCGAGGGGGAGCAGAUGUCCUGGGUCACUCACAGUCCAACCAAUGGAGGAACAACAGAGAACACUCAAAUCUGACUGAAGUACCUGGCAUUCUGCAGGAUGGACUGUUCUGAUGCUGCAAUGAAGAGUGGCUGAGUUCUAACCUGCAUCCUCAUCCCCCACCAGACCAUGACUGUCACUGUCAUCUGUCACCGGCCUGUUACAAGGCAGCAGAUGUACUAAUAAAACUGGUUUCAUAUACUACAAUGAUUUCAGAAUGUUUGGUUACCUACAUGAUAAAAUAGCUUUCUGUAGGUUUCCCCCUCCCAAAACGUCUUUUGAUUAGGUUAGCUCCCUAUCCUUAGUCUGAUAUAAUCCUGACAAGCCACCCACAGGAAAUCAAACUACAUUCCUCAUAGAUUAAAAAAAUGUUUUUU